ensembl:lncRNA
CCACAAAGUUAGCAGCGUGAAGUGGAUGAUGACGUGGUGUCAUUCCCAGAAAGUCUUCUGCUGUUGGUAUCUCGUGAUGCAUCUUGACAGUGUGAUGGCAUCCCACAGCUCUCUGUGCAUCUUCAGGCAAAUGUCACACACUGAAACUAAACAGGAUCUUUUUUUUCUUGUUCAUCCGACGUGCUGUUUUCUGUGCCCGAGAUACAAAUCUGUAUUUGAAAAUGCCUUAACCCUUUGGAAGGACAACCCUUCCUCUCUGUGCCCCAGGAGGGAGUUUUGCAGCAGAUGUGGGGGACGUCGUGUUGGCGUUGGCACCGAGGUCAUUCUGCAUGCUCAGUGCACUCCCAUUGCAAAAGGUACCAAAACAUAUUCAAACUCAGUUCCUUGUCAAAAGAUGAAAGUAGAGGACAAAGCAGGAACAAAAAUCUUCAUGGAGCGAACAAUAUCAACAUCAAGUCAUGGGAUUUGGAGGCUGUUCCAGUUUCCUACUUUUAUGCACUACAACAAGACACUGAAACGUAAUUGCAGAAUUCAAGUAAAGCAAUUCCGAUGUGUUUUAUCAUCGAAGAAAGAAAAAUAAUUUCCAUGACAAAAUGGCAAAGCUGUGUUGCUGUUUAUGAAUCACUGUUGGAUGAGACUCUAAGAACUGAAGAGGAGUAAUCAGUAAUAAACCUCAAACCUUUGGAGGCUAUUGGCUGCCCAUCAGCACUGCAAAUUUUGGGUACUCUACUUUGUGUACCCAAACAGAAUGAUAUUGGGAGUACCUCUGAGGAUGGGCAUUCCCAUUUACCAUGAGCUACCAUGGGAGCAUUCCCCCACUGAGGUGGGUCUCUAGGCUGGCAUAUGCCUAAAGAAACAAGUCACCAUGAAGCAACACAAGCAGAGGCAAUAUGUGGUUUUUUUUACUCUGCAAACAAAAGCAUACCAUGCAGCCAGCAUCCUCAGGCACUGCUGUCCCCACAGAGCUCCUGGAUGGACAAGAGGAGUUCCCUGGAGUGGAGGAAGGUAGGAAUGGAAAGUUUUCCUGAAUGUGUCUACAUCCCUCUAUAGCCAUCCAUACCUGGAGCCAGAGCACUGAAGGGAGCUGUGCUGAAUCACCCAGCUGGAACCUCCUUUUCUUUAGGCAUUUCAAAACCUAAGUGGUUUUUCAAAUUUCAAAACCUUCCUAAAGGAGGCAUGUCUGGUCUCACACCGUGCUCCAGCAGCAGUGGCCAGAGAGCUCUGUUCUACAAGGCAAAGCAUGUGUGCUCACCACAUUGUCUUUCACGGUCUUCUUGUGGAAUCAGUGAGAAAUGUAUACUUUUGGUUCCAGAAGAGAACAUGAUCACAACAUUGGGAUUUCCCAUAGGACGGAAAUUCUGAUCCAUCCAUAUAAUCCCAUGAGGGACUCUUGUUCAUGACUAGGAAAUGUGGACUUGUUCCAAGUGCAGUACAGGCUCCAAAAGUCCCAAACCACCAGAAGCUCCCAGAGCCCCAAGAGCCCACAAUCAAAGUAAAAAGCAGAGGGCAACAGAUGGAUGGAGACAGAUGGAGAACCACAAAGAAACCAGGAGACACAACAGAGACAAAGGCCUGGAUAAAUGCCUACCAGAGCGUGGUUAAAUGUAAAAAUUGGUUUGUUUACAACUCAUACCUGUUGCAUUGAAGAUUUCUAGCUCAACCUACCUAAUAAGACUUCUUCCAGUUGGAUUUUCAGUGAGGAAUAGUAAGCUAUGUUAGACUCUAAAGCUGAAGAUAAUUGUAAAGCCUUUCUGUGUCUUCAGAUUUACUGAGAAACUGCAAAACUGAAGUGCAAGUAUCAUCUCUUCUCCAGGAGAAGUUAAAGGGAAUUAGAUCAGCUAACUAGAGGAUGCAGUGCCAAGCUCCAUCAGCAUGCCAGGAUUCAGCCUGCUGUCACUGUCAGGUGCUUUCCAAGCCACUGGCUGCACCGGAGUCUGUUGGUGCUGCAAACCUUGUAAUUGAUGUGCUCCCAGCCAGGCCCUCUGGGAUCCAGAUGUGGUGAGGGUAAAACACAUCAGCCCUACAAAUCUGCCACAUGGGACAGAAACUUUCCAGACCUCAGACUUGACUGUCAGCCCUGUCCUUGCUGGCUUCACACCACAGGCUGCAAAAGCUGCACCCAGCAAGGGAAAGCCUUGGCUGUGACUAGGAACUAGAGCUACCUGUAAUUGCAGAGCUAGAUGAAGGGAGAGCCUUUGUGGCACAGGCCUGUGGCUACCAUCACUGGGGAAGCUGUUCUGGUAUUAACAGCAGUGGAAGAUUUUUACCAGUUGAGAGCCUUGAAACUAAAUGGAACCCCCAUCUGUGGAGGAGAUAGCUAUUGCAUUUUGCCCCACCUUUCCACAGCUUAUAUGAUCACAGAGAAGAGUGGCUUGGAAAUGACAGCAUUGUCUUGUGAUUCAGGGGAGGUGAAACCAAAUCUUCUCCAUGCCAUAUAUUUCCUUGUCAAAUCACCUGUUUCUCAGAGAGGGAGAAAAAUUUGGGUCUUUUUCUAAGUUGCUAGGCGGAUGAUCAAGUGAAUAUUUAAGACUCUGAAUGAAUGAUGUGUGCCGUAAAAUAACAAAGAUAGAAUAAAUAGAAUUUAUCUUGUCCUGUGGCUUCUGCAAUAGGAUUAACUGGAGCACUCACUGUAGUUAAUAUGUAAUUAAUGUGUGGAUGGACUGUUGUCAGCUGUGUACAUGUUUGAUGUCAGCAAUAUAUUAAAGUAUAAGAAAUUAAUAAUGAAGCCUUCUUGAUAAAUUUGUAUCUUGAUAAUGCAGAGCUCCCCCCCUCAUUUAGCCUCCAGGUAUCCCUUGUUAGAAGAGUUAAGCUAGCUUGACUGGGUCAACUUCUUUUCUCUUGGUCCCUUCCCAUCUUCAGAGGACUUUACAUCUGGUUUCUCUGGUGGUUCCUGUUAUUAUUUUUUGAGUGCAUGCUUGAGUAUUUGUAAAGCUCACAAGGAGGACCCUCUUGUCACGAGCAACUACUUUGAAGCAUCCCCCUGCUUCUCAGCACUUUGCUUGGCAUGUAGUUAAACAAAUUUACACUUGGUAACUGUUCCUUUCUUCUUCUUUUUUUUUUUUUUUUUCUACCUGGUCCUAUGAGUGAGCACUCAAGACAGAUUUCAUUUCCUU